rnacentral:tRNA from 1 species
GCUAACGUGGCUCAAUGGCAGAGCAGCGCAUUCGUAAUGCGCAGGUUGUGGGUUCGAUUCCCACCGUUAGCUCCA